rnacentral:sRNA from 1 species
AGAAGAAGAAGAAAAAA